CCAACCAGUGGCUCACCACCGUGAUGGUCAUCAUCCUCACCACCCUGUGCAUCCUCUUCUCCUUCACCGACAGCGUCCUUGGCCGCGACCAGAAGCUCUACUACGGCGUCGCCACACCACGCGGCUUCAACGUGUUCAACUUCUCCGAUGAAGAGGAGAAGCUGAAGUGGACUCCACCUGAGUUCCGGAGGCUCCGCAUCCGGCCGCUCGAGUUUUUGCAUGCCAUCUUCACAGCGCUGGUCUUUCUCACCGUGGCGUUCAGCGAGGUAGGUCUACAAAGCUGCUUCUUCCCCAAUGCCGGUAAGAACACCACGGAGCUGCUGAAGAACCUACCUUUGGGCUGUUGUUGCCGCGGCCUCUGUCUUCCUCUCUCUCGCUGCACCUCCCGCUCGUUCUCUCUCUGACACAACGAAGAGGAAGGUGAAGGAAAAAGAAGGACGCAGGACACAGGUGUUUCCCGGAGCACGUACUCCGCCCGCCGCACGAACGGCGUGUAUUUCUUUUCCCUGACCACGAACUCAGUUCACCCCAGGCGAGCUACACAAGAGUCUGGAGCAGGCUUUAUACCCACGCGCAUGUACGCGCCACGCCUCGCUCCUACGCACUCGACGCACGCACUCCCCACGUCCCGCGCUCCCUGGAUCACGCGCCCGACGCGCACGAACGCAGUCGCCGUGAUCCUGAGUCCAGCACCUGACGCAGUCACCCCUCCUAGCAUCUCGCCUACACGCAACGGCCCAUGCGCUCGAACGCGUGGACACACACGCAUACACAUCUGGCCUAUACACUAGUCAGACACAAGUCGGAUUAUGCCCAGACCAUCCAACAUACGGAUGCUACUCGGAUGCUACCCAGACUAUGGUCAGACAAAGUGCCUCGCCAUGGCUUAUUCCUACAUGGGCAUCACAUUUCUGUCGAGUUUUGUGUUCAUGGUCUUCCCCACAAAGAGGAAGGGCAUCGGCCACACCGACACCACUCCUCGCGAGAAGCUCACUUGAUGUUUAGAUGAUCGUAUCACCUUUUUUUGGACAAUUAGAUUACAAUGUAAUCACGGUAUAUAUAUAGUAGUUAACUUGUGAUUACUUUAUUUUUGAGAAAUACUUGUGUAUUGUUUAGUUUGUUCAUGCCAUGGAACCAUUCGUGUAUGUACAUAUAUCCUUGGAUGUAAAGUUUGUCUUUCAAUUUAAAAUACAUAGGAAAAAUAUACACCUUACUUCGUAAAAGGAAUAACCCAUGAACCUCGCCCAAAGUCUAUGUAAUCUCCUAGGUCAUAAAGUCACAAGUUUUUGAAUUUACGAAAAUAAGGCGGACUUUGUCUCAUGGAAGGAGAUGGUUGUAGAGUCCUCUGGAUCGGUUAGGGUUAAGGAUUCACAGUAGUCUUUACCUUUUCCUUGGAUUGAUGAGCCCGAUGGGUUGACCAUGGUGGAUGGCGGCGGUGGUGAUGGCAGAUCGUGGGCGAAGUGGUGGCGGCGCUUCCCGUCAGCACUGCACUAAACCUAGAUCGGUAGGAGAUGUGGUGGGAAGUACGGCGUCACGACGAACCUCGUGAUGCGAGUCGCCGUCCCCCCACCUCUUUAUAUAGUGCAGGUGAUAGGGGCCCGUCACCCAUAGUGGGCUGAGCGUCCCCGAUCAGGGCGCGGAUCUAAGGGCCCGGUGGGCCGUUGGGCCCACACGGUGGAGAUCAUCCUAACAUUCUCCCCCUUGAUCUCAACUUUUACUUUUGACCUUUGUACUUUGAAAUAACUCUUUUCAAAGUACUUGUUCCAUCACAGAUUUGCAUGUAGAGCAUGUCUCAUCAUCACGGUUCAUUCCCGAUAGAAUCAACACCUACAACACACUCCUCUGUUUUGAAACAGAUUCUUUAACCUUGGGCCCUUUUAUUGUCCGGAAAUCUUAGACUAUACCAUAAAACCCAUGUCGACUGUGUGUUCUCUGAACACACUGGGCGGCAAGCCUUUAAUAAGCAGAUCUGCAAACACUUGUCUGUUGCUUUUAUGCUUCAAGCAUUUCUACAUGAUUCCGGACUUUCUCCUUUACAACGCAUAACUCUGUGUCAGUGUGUUUGGCAUCAACACUUGACUCGUUGUCAUAGGAGCGAAAAACUUAAAAUGGUUAUCGUUGUUGUCAACCAUUAUCAAUUCCGGGUACUUGUUUCUUUAACCUUUUUGCCUGUCCCUCAGCCUCAUAUCAUGUUGUACAUUAUCUUUACAUCAUAUUAAUGAUAAUUGAUUCAUUCUUUAGAGUUUUUCCACACAAAAACUCCAAGUGUGAAAGUCAGCGACAAUUGUGGAUUUCGCUGUAUAUUUCACGAGUCCUGUCUUUGUACUCAUAAUCUUUUGAGAGCACUUAUUUCUUUCAGCAUGAGGCCGAUAUCCUUGACUCCAUUCCAGUGAUCUAUAUCUGGACUAGACAUUACCAAAACAACCCGGUUACGUGAACUAUGUCACGGUAAUGUUAUACUUUUGCAUUCAUUAAGCUUCCAACAGCUGAAGCAUAUGGUACCAUAUUCAUUUGGUCUAUUUCGUAUUGACUUUUGGAACACUAAAGUUCCCAAAAUCAUUACCCUUUACUAUAAGAACAGGCGUAGGUUUUCUCGCAUGCAUACUUUAGAAACUUUCCUUAGCAUGCCCAUGCGACACACCUAAUACCCCUUUUAUUCUUUUCUCGGUGAAUCCCGAUCCUUAUAACGAGAGACAUUCUUUUAAACUUUGAGGACAAGAACUUCUUUUCCUCCUGCAGUCGAAUUAACAUCACUACUAACAAGCAGAAUGUUAUCCGCAUGUACAAGAUAUAGGAAAUGAAAUUCCCAUUCUAUAACUUUAUACAAACACAAUUGUCCUCUCAUUUUCUUUAACCCAAAACAACAUUUGAUUGCUUUAGUCCAUAAAAGACUUCUUCAGGCAGUAUCCCCUGUGUUCUUUACUUUCAUCUGAUGUAACUUAGAUCAUAAUAUCUUUCAUCUGAUGUAACUCAGAUCAUGAUGUGCUACCAACACUCAUUGUAAUCUAUUCAGUGUAAAAUGCGCAAAAAACCUUUCGAUUUUAGUCGUGUUUUACACCUUUACAUAUUUCCUUUGGAGUCACAUUGUCCUUGUAGACUCUUUACAGCCUACUGUUUUGGCUCCAUUGGAAAUUACUCAUGAGUCCCGAACAUCGUCAGAAUUCACCAAUUUCAUUUCAUCUCACAUAGUCUCUUAUCAUUUAGAUAAGCAGACACUUCUCAAAACUCGAUUGAGCGCUUUAAAUGAGGUGGGAUCAACCUCCAUUUGAAUUUCACUAACAUAGACUUUAUAGUAAUCAGAAGUAUCUGAUUUUCUCAUUCCUUGAGACCAUCUGUGUCUCAGGUACUGGCACUUCUUUCAUAUGGGGCUGUUGUUGCUCUGUCAUUGCCAAGAGGCAAAUUAAUUGUAGUCUUUCACUUCCAAGAGGCAAUAGAUUUUACAGGGACCUCCUGUUUAAUCAUUCCUCCUUUAUAAUUCCUCCUUUAUAGACCUAACAACGGGUGUUGUAUAGGUCAUACAACAUGCUCCCCCAGAUACAAUCUAUUUGAGUCUUAGGUAUCUUCAUACCAUGCUCCCCCAGAUUACUCCAUCUUCACUAAGAAUGGCGUAUCUUUAAACUUUAUUAUUUGGGUUUACUCUGUUAAAAUUUUCUUCUUUAUGGCACUUUAAACACUGUCUUAGUAUUCCUUAGUCUGCUUUCGGAACUGUAAAAGAUCCAGGAAUACAUCUAUUUCUUUUCUUUAGGGAUAUUAUUAUGAUCGUCGUACUCCCCCAGAUGAUCACAUUCUUCAUUAAUGGAUAUCUCAUAUUUCUUUCUCCCCCUCGAAAUGUGGCAAGAACUUUUCUGCCACAAUUUCAAAAAACCAUUCACAACUCUUGUGAAUUAAGGAAACUUUGAGUAUCUACUUCAUGUAUCUGAUUACUUCAUAUGUAAUGAAGUUAUCUGUUAACGGUAUGGGAGUACUUUUUCCUUAUUCCUCAUUCCAUUUCAGAAACUCAAAAUAGUUCUUUAUCAUUAGUACUUUUGCAAGUCACACUUGCAUAUCAUUCUUAUCUUUAGGUUCGUCUGUAACUUUUAUUCUCUGUGGAUUUAUUGAGUGCUUAAUGACCGUUGCACAUAAGGUGUACGGUCGAUACUAGGAAAGCAUAAUAGCUACUCCAUACUUUUCUCCCAGAGUGGGACACAUUAAACGCACAUGAGUCAUCAUAUCUUUCUCCUGUCACACAGGAUAAGUCUUAGCCAAAAUUUCUCCGGACGUAUAGGAUUUUUGACAUAAUACUAUGUCAACUUUACCCAGUUACGCAUGUGUUUUCCCAGACCUUUCCCGCCAUGCGGUUUCUUAUCAUAAUCAUCUUUUCCCGCUAUGCGGGUAAUUCCCUGUAAGGGACAUAAAUGCCAGAAUUGGCUCUUUUGACUGCAUAUUCAAUCAUCAAAUUCAGAAAUAAAUCCAAAUGCUCUUUGACACACGUGCUUGACCCGACGUUGGUCAAAUUAAACACACAUGUUGCUUGUUUCAUUUCAAAUCAUGUUGAUUGAAAAAUCUUCUUCAUAGAGAGUACAUGAAAGACAUUCGUCAACCAAGACUCUCAAUGAUCUUUCUCUUUUCUUUUGAAGCCAUUCUUUAGAGAGCACAUACUCCCUCACGUUAUGACCUUUCUUGGUCAUCUUUCGGGUCACAAGUACCCAGCCAUUCGCUUUCGUGAAUAAAAGCAUGGAAAACUUUAGUCUGAGAAAACUUAGCCAAUAAUCAACAAUAAUGAGCACAAAAAAUAACCCCAUGUUGGUCAGGUUAAAAAAUAUGCACAUUAAACUUUGAAAAACUUUCUUUUAUAUUCUAAAUCACCGUUGGGCAGAAUUAGAAUAAAACAUCAUCCUUCUACAUUAAUUCCAUAUCACCGUUGGGCGGAAAUGGAAAUAAUGCAUAUAACUCGUAAAUAAUGUGAUAAUAAAAUUUCUAUUAAGCGACUUUGCUAAGAAAAUAAUCAUCAUUAUCAACUUUUUUUUUGCAGCGGAAAACUUUUAAUAUACAUUUCUCAAUCUUUAUCAAAUGCUCUGAAAAUUGGUCACUUUGAUACAAAAAUUAUCAGAGAUUUGAACUUUUAACUAUAAGACUCAUUGAAUUAUAAUAUUGUCAUCAUCAACGUUGGUCAGAAAAUAACAAUACCAUAAUUAAACUUUAAUCAAAUAUCUUUCUACUGUCAUAGCAGAAGCUAUCUUAAUCUAAUUUCACCCACAAGUGAAAAAACUUCUCUCAAAAGACUGCUCAUCCAAUUAAAUUUUCCCGUUGGUUCCAAUUUAAUUGGAGGAUAAUACUUUUUCCUUUUUUGUAAAAGAGUACUAUUAAUUAUUUACGCAGCGGAAAAACAUGAAUAAAAAAUUCAUGAACUUUUACUGUUUACAUAAACUUUUCUUUGACUAAAUAAAAAUUCAUGAACUUUUUCUUUUCAGAAACAUUUCCUUUUCUUUUUUAUUUUCUAAACAAAAAAAUUUCUCUGAAUAAUUUGAAUAGAAAAAAAACUGUAUUAUAUUUUGCCCAAAAAACUGGACAAAAACUGAAAAAACAAAAGAAAAAGCAGCAGGCUGCGCCGGCCUCAGCCCAGCGCGGGUGCGGCAGCGCCUCCCGGCCCAAAAAGCCCAGCGUGCGCGCCAGCGGCGGCCUGGUCCGACUGCCCGGCUCCCGCUCUCUCUUUCGGCCCAAAAGGCCUGCAGCGGGGCUAGGUUUUCAAUCGUGACCAUCCAGUCCGAUCGGACGAUCCAGCGUUCUUCUCGCUUGAACAAAACAGGAGCCGACGGAAACCCCGACCGAACCCUAGCCAUUUAUGUCUCUUUGCUCUCUCUCUCUCUCGACGGUGGAAGCACGGGGUUGCGCCCCGGCCGCCACCGCCGGCGGCGGAAGCCACCGCGCCGCGCGCGCCUCUUCUCCCUUCCCCCUUCUCUUUUGCAGAGAGGACUAGGCGCGAGCCCCUCCUCUGAUCUGUCGCUCUGUCCCGCACGCCGGGGCAUCGCACCGCUCCGGUCGCCAGGGACGGCGACGAGCGCCACCGCGCCGCGCUGCACCGCGACUCCCUUCCUUUCCUGUGGCAGAGAAAGAGGGUCGGGCUUGCGCCCUCCUCUGCUCCACUUGCGCCUCGACGGCGCCUCCAUCUCUGUUGGAGUAGCGGCUGGGCACGGCUGCGCUGGCCGCCGGCGUCGACAGCAAACCACCGCGGCGCGCGAUCCCCUCCCUAUUUCCCUUUUUUCUGCUUUUUCUCCCUCCACCACCAUAUAAGGAUUCGAGCAGUGCAGAUUCAGGGAAGAAUGGCGCCCCUCUGCCCCCCUUGCCGGCGUGUGCGUGCACCCGUAGAUGGGUGCACCGCCGUCAAGCGAUUCAGCGGCGACGCCCUGUUUCGGCGACCGCGUGGUCUCUUUGCCCCCAAAAGGGGGUGGUGUUCUUGUUCUCAUGCCUCGGCAUGCCGAUGCGCAUCGAGAUCGAGAAGAACGGCGCGACCAUGACGGCGGCGCUCUUUGCCGGCGGGCCCUUGGCCCUGCUCCGGUGAUCUUCUUUGCCCUGUCUAGGGUUCUUCGGGAGGGGGAAAGAUUUCUUUUGUGUUCAUUUCUACUGAAAAUCCUAAACCAAACCUUGUCUGAUACCAUUGUAGAGUCCUCUGGAUCGGUUAGGGUUAAGGAUUCACAGUAGUCUUUACCUUUUACUUGGAUUGAUGAGCCCGAUGGGUUGGCCAUGGUGGAUGGCGGCGGUGGUGAUGGCAGAUCGUGGGCGAAGUGGUGGCGGCGCUUCCCGUCAGCACUGCACUAAACCUAGAUCGGUAGGGGAUGUGGUGGGAAGUACGGCGUCGUGACGAACCUCGUGAUGCGAGCCGCCGUCCCCCCACCUCUUUAUAUAGUGCAGGUGACAGGGGCCCGUCACCCAUAGUGGGCUGAGCGCCCCCGAUCAGGGCGCGGAUCUAAGGGCCCGGUGGGCCGUUGGGCCCACACGGUGGAGAUCAUCCUAACAAUGGUUUGUUAUAGACGAGAAAGGUAGAAGUACCACGCUACUAAUUCUUGCAAUCAUCCAACUUCUUUCGAGAACUUUGCCAGCUAAAGAAUCUGAGGAAGCUGCGACUGAAAUUAGGCGAUGAUCCAACAGAAGUUAAUAAGGAGCACAUGAAAGUUAUUGCCUCCUCUAUCUAUGAACUAAGCACACUCAGCCUUGAUUCUCUAAAGAUUGGAAGUGAGGAUGGUAUCGAGAAUGAUUACUCAUUAGAUGACAGCUUCUUACUGGAACAGUGGUGUCCUGCUCCGCGUAGUCUCCGGGAACUUAUAAUUUCUGAGACCAUUUUGCACGUUCCAGAUUGGGUAGGAUCAUUGGUCAACCUCCAGAGGUUAAUCCUAAUUGUGAAGUCAGUCCAGCAGGAAGAUCUCUGUGCCCUUGGAGGCUUACCCAGUUUGUCCUUUUUAAUUCUGUGCAUAGAAGGAGAAGCAGAGUCUAUAGGAAGGCUUACAGUAAGUGGUACCAGUGGAUUCCCAUGUCUAAAGGUGCUUUUCUUCUAUACAGAGAAUAGGAUGGAGCUCAUGUUUUACAAGGAUCCAUGGCGAAGCUAGAGUUUCUCUUCACUAGUUUCAAUGAAGCUAAAACUGAGUCUGUCAUGUGGUGCUUUUGAUUUCGGUAUUGAAAACCUUCCCUGCCUCGGGGCUCUUCAUUGUACACUUCAUGGUGCUACCAAGAGCACUGGUCGGGUUGUUCAGGUCGCAAAGGCUCCCAUAGAGGGAGCAGCCUACACACUCUCUAACCACCCCAGGUUUGAAGUACACAUUGAAGGAGAAUAUGAUGCAUGAAACAUGGAUGGUAGAACUGAUUCUUUCUCCCAAACAAGACCUUGUUGAUACCUGUUCUUUCAUUGUCUCAUAUUAAUCUGGUUGUUUUCCUUUCCAGGUUGGUGUGGGAUCUCGUGGGCGUAUUCUAAGAGCAUCUACAGCCGGGCCUCUCAUAUCAGUCUCAAACGCCCGGACAGACCGUCCGGUCAGUGACCGGUCACAAACUGUUAGACCCAACUGGACCUCUCAAACCACAGACAAACGCCCGGGCUGACCGGCACCCCACAUAUACAGUCCACAUAUAGGACAGAUAUGGGGCGGCCCGGACACGCCAGGGCGCGUCCGCCUAACAGGCCCGGCCCACCAAGGACCCCACAAAAAACUCCAAUCCGGGUGGCGAGCUCAAACCCUAGCUCACUCUCUCCCUCUUCCGCUUCGUCCAACUCCUCUCCCUCUCCAGUUCCGGUCCCAUCCACCAUGAUGAGCAGCUCUGGCAGUGACUCUGGCUCGAAGCUCGACUACGAGGAGGAGAUGGCUCUCUGCAUUGUGCUGGAGCGGUCCAAGGUGGAGACUGGCGGCAGCUACGGAUCUGGAGCAUCGCCGCACCACCCGCGCCGGCGCAGUGCAGACGCCAGAGCUGGACCUUCCCGGCCUAUGCGCAGCGACGCCCGGUCAGCACAGUCCGCGCCAGCCCCGCAGAGUCUCCUUCCCCGCCGGCCGCUCCUGCACGCGGUCAGCGCUGGGUGCUUGUGCCCGCGCCUCCGGCGUGCAUGCACUCCGGAGUCGGAGGCAUGCGCCGCGCGCCGCGAGAGGCAGCGUGCAUGGGAGAGGGACAUGGUGGAGCAGUCCGUGCGCCGCCGCCGCGGGACAGAGCCGGACACCGACGAGGACGCGCGUCUCCUCGCCUGGAUGUACCGCCGCUCCCUCACGAUGGCAGAGACGGAUGCUCGCCGCCUCCGACAGAAGAACGGCAAGGCGCUCCGGCUAGCUAUUGAGCAGUCGGAGUGCGAGACGAAGAAGGCUCGGGUGGCAAGGCUGAAGCGGGAGCAGGAUAGGGCGGUCGUCGGAUGAAGGGGCUCAUCGUCCUCUCCAACUCUGACUCCGACGGCAGCGACAGCUGCACCUCGUCGUAUGACAACCAAGACCCUCCACCAGCCGCGGACGCCCACAGCUGCGCCGACGACCGGAAGGGCAAAGGCCCGACGAGGAAGUGGUGAUUCUGGCCCCCCCUCCUCCUCAAUGUUUAUAUCGUUUCUAGUUAUAGAAGUUUAUGAACUUGUCCGUGGACGAACUAUGAUCUUUUGGAUGUGGUGAAGUAUGUUAUGUCCGAUUGCAGCCGAUCUUGUGUUUCUUUGCAGCUUAAUUUUGUUGUUUGUCGUUUGAUCACGUAGGAUAGAUCAAUGUAUGUAUGAGUAGUAUGGAUAUAAGGCGCCGGAUAUGAGAUAUGCGGAUGCAGAAUGACAAAUAUGAGGGGUGCCCGGUCAGUCCCCGCGGACGCGCUCGGGCGCGUUCGCGGGCAUUUGAAGGGCCGGAUUUAUCAAGUCUGACUGUAGAUGCUCUAAUUCUGAAGCACGUCUUCACACUCCAAUGAACGCAUCAUUCUUCAAGCUACAUUAGCCGAGAUUCGGUUUGGUUCUAUAGGCUCAUGGUCAUGGAGUUCGAGCUGCAGCCCCCGACAAUGCUCGUGAAUCUAAAAGUACCACAAGUCAGCAAUAUCUGGAUCAUGCCUAAACACCGAGCGAUGGGGCUGGCUGGCCCCACCUGGUGGUUCUGGCCAGCUAACCUCUGCACGGCCGUCAGCAGCGAAAUUAGCAUGCAAGCCAAAGCCGAGUGGUACAAAGGUGCUCUUAUACUGUAACAUGACACCACUCAUUGUUCUGAUCUUGCUCACAGUCAAGUAGCCGAGAGAGAAAAAAGAGUGCAAUUUGGCUCUGUCCAUUGCAGUUUGCUUGACCGAUGCUUCCGACUGCUUCGAGCUGCGGUAUUACUUGUUGGCAUCUUCACAUAUGUCGCACUUCAUGGAGUGUUCUAGUACCUGAAUGGAUUCGAGAAAUAUUCAGGGAAAUCUAGAGGUUCUGGGAGAUUCUAUAUGAGUAGUAUAGAUAGAUCUAAUCCGUUGGAUGAUGGAAAUAAAUAGGCCACAAUAAAAAGAACAUGAAUUUUAGCCCACAAUAAUUUGGUGUAAUGUAGAAGGACUCCUUUAGUAUUUUAGUAUGGAUUAGAGCACCUUCCACAGUUUUAGCAAACAAAGCAAGCGCUGCCCUAGGAUCUGCAAACCACAUCACUAAUGUGGCCGAAAAACAUGCCAUUGCAUAAUUUCCAAAUGGACCACACAUCGGUGCAGCAACAAUCAUAUUCGCCAGUGUUCUUUUCAUAAUGUUGGUUCUUCCUCAAAUACGAAGUCAAUACCAAACGUAAGCGAAAUGAUAAUGAGACUUCGUAGAAACUAUGGCUUUGUCAUUUAGGCCAUAUUUCGAAGGGGAGAACUGAGUGUCUCACUAAAGAGCAAAUCCUUCAUCCUUUAGAUUUCUCGGAUAUAGAUCAUUGUAUCGAUUGCAUAAUGUGCCAAGAAAAUUAAGAAAGGUGUAAAUCGAAGCACACAAGUUUUAGAAUUAAUCCACACAAACACAUAUGGUCAAUUUAAUGUAAAAUUGGUGGAUGGUAUUGAUUUAUUCAUAAUGUUCACCGAUGAUUUCUCCCGUUAAGGAUACAUUUAUCCUACCAGGUGGCUCCCUAGUGCACAUUGCAAAUAUAUAAAAAGUAUGUCCAGUGGAAGAAUUGGGUGCUGCUCUAAGCUCUCUUCACUCUCACUCACUGAAGCUUGACCCUAAGAGCAUCUCUAGGCGCGCCCCCAACAGCCCCCCCCCCCUUCCUAGGCGUUUUUUUGGCGCUGAAGGCCGAAAAUCGGCCCAGUCGCACCCCCAGAAGCCUGUUUUUCGUCGGUUUGGGAUGAAACUGGCGCCGGUGGACCCGGGCCAAACCCAGCGCGCUGGGGCGCCGGGGAACGCGUUUUUGGCGCGAACGGGGAUGGGCCUGCCGAGUCAGCCGGAGCAUGAUGAUCNNNNNNNNNNNNNNNNNNNNNNNNNNNNNNNNNNNNNNNNNNNNNNNNNNNNNNNNNNNNNNNNNNNNNNNNNNNNNNNNNNNNNNNNNNNNNNNNNNNNNNNNNNNNNNNNNNNNNNNNNNNNNNNNNNNNNNNNNNNNNNNNNNNNNNNNNNNNNNNNNNNNNNNNNNNNNNNNNNNNNNNNNNNNNNNNNNNNNNNNNNNNNNNNNNNNNNNNNNNNNNNNNNNNNNNNNNNNNNNNNNNNNNNNNNNNNNNNNNNNNNNNNNNNNNNNNNNNNNNNNNNNNNNNNNNNNNNNNNNNNNNNNNNNNNNNNNNNNNNNNNNNNNNNNNNNNNNNNNNNNNNNNNNNNNNNNNNNNNNNNNNNNNNNNNNNNNNNNNNNNNNNNNNNNNNNNNNNNNNNNCUCGCAUCGCCACACAAAGCAACACACUCCCCUCUUCCCGCCGAUGAGCAAAUGGCUGAGAGGUACCCAGGCGACGGCGCGGCGGCGAACGGCUUCGGCCGCCGCUACCUCCAAGAGCCGGAGGCGCGCCUCCUCUACGAGGCCGACUAUCUGGCGCCCCCGGACAUGCGAGUGCCGGGGGCGUGGAAGUUGAGCGCCGGCGGCGUCCCGGUGCCCGAAGGGGCUGCACGGCGGGCCGAGAUCACCCGCAUCCGCUCGUCGCUGACGGAGGCGCAGUGGAACGAGCCGAGGUACGCUGCCGACAGCCACACGCUCUGGAUGAUGUGCUUCGAGCAUCGCCCCGAAGACCAGAUCGCCUCCUGCAACGGCAUCAUCCCCCGCGGAUGCCUCAACGCCAACGGGCGGCGCCAGUGGUGGGGUGUGCCCGGCCGCACCCUCGAGGCCGUCCUCGACCACAUCGAGACCGGCAACACGCCGCGCCUCGAGUACCCGCCGCGGCCGUCCUUCUCUCGCCGCCGUGGCAGCUCCUGGACGCCGCGGUGAAUGGAGCCCGGGACGUCCUCGUCGUUGGGCUCCGGCUCGCUCUCCUCCAGCUCGCCGGCACUCCGCCCCGUCAAGCCGGAGCCGGAAGAGACGCCGCACCCGCAGCGGCGCCCUCUUCAUGAACGAGGGUGCCCGCCCCUCCCCGCGCUCCCUCCGCCUGGUCCGGCCGAAGCCCGAGCCGAGGCUGCUCCCCAUGAAGCCGGAGCAUGCGGACAUGGUGGCCCUCGACGACGAGGCCGCCCUCAAGUGGGCGAGGGAGGACUACGUCCGCGAGCAGGUGCUCCGCCAGCACCGGGCAUACGUGGAGCUCCAGGCCCGGCGCCGCGGACGCGAUGAGGGUGGUGUCAUCGUCCUCGACAGCGACGAGGAGGACGAGGCCAGGCCGUCCAACCCCCCACCGUGUGUCGACGACCCUGGCCAGGGAUGCAGUAGGGAUGGCGGCGGCUCCAGCGCGGCGCGCGACGACGACGACGACGGCGGCGGCGACUACACUCGUUUCUACAGGCUCCUCGGCAUGUAGAUGGCGGACGGUGGCCGCGGGGUAGCAGGGCUAGGCGUAGGCGUAGUUUGCCUGUUUAUCUGUUUUUUUUUAUAAAUUUCAAUGAAAUAUCGUCGAGUUUGUGCCAGAUCACUGAGUUUGUACAAAUUUGUAUGAAAUAUUGCCGAGUUCGCGCGAUUAUGGCGGCGACCUGGGGGUGUCAACUGGGAACACAGUCACACCCACGUGCCAAGCAAGCGUCGGUUUGGCCCAGGUGGCUCUUUUUCGGUGUCCUGGGGCCGAACGAGUGAAGAUGCUCUAAGCUCAUCGAUCAGAGCAAGCAUUGGGAAGGACCGAACACACAUCCGAUCAAGCUCUAGGAGAAGGAAGAAAAAGAGAAACGACAGGACCUCAGAGCAAGGCAAUUGUCCAUCUUCUUUUCAUGUGUCUCAAGCUUAAUCUAGUUGAUCCUGGCGAAGCGGCGAUCAACAUGGCCCACCCACAUGCAGAUGGUUCUCUCACGUACGUGCACACAGCAUUAACAUUGAAGGUCGGAGAAGAGAAGUAGCAUUGAGGGGACUAUUGGUCAAUCAUAAAUAUUACAAUCACGACAUUUGAUAUUCAAAAAUCCAACUAGGUGUAACAAUGACUUCGAAAAUUUCAAAUUGCUAUGAUUUUUGUACAUAUGAAUCUUCUUUGUAAUAUGGAAAAUGAAGCCAAUCCCUUUUUUUUCAUUUUUCUUUAGUGAAGUUAUUACUAAAUUAUAUUUGAAUGUUAAAAGUCUAGAUGCAAAUUAACAUGGGCCAUUCCAACACAACAAGGUGCCAUACGUUUUCCAGCUGAUAAAGACAAUAAAAAAGCCUUCCAAAUACAUAGACAAGGUGCCAAACGAAUACGGAUAAGCUGAAAAGUUUCUGCUCUAACUACACAAAGUCACUCGGGUGCAGUUGGUUGCGCAGAACCCUGAGAAGCAAGAGGUGAUGAAUUAACAUUCAACACUUGAAGUGAUUCGCGGUCGCUCUAGUCCUGGAGCAACGAGCAAACUCUGGCCUCGUCGUACACCUUUCCUGGCCGGCAGAAGUACCCAUGCUCCGGCGCGCAGUGCGAGUCUUCAGAGCAGAUGCAGAGUCCUUCCACGGCGCAGCUCUCCUUGACGAUGUCGGGGCUUCCCUUGAUGCCGAGCACCUGGUCGCUCCACUCGCUCGAGAAGAGCCCGUUGGGGUCAUACCUGUCCUUCACCCCGAGGAAUUUACCAGCUCCCGGGUACUUCGUGAUGACACCGCUGAAAGCGAAGUUACGGUUCUUUCCCCAGUGCGGGAGGCCACCGUACUUGCGUAGCGCCAUCUGCUCGAUCUCGUCCACCACGUCGGCGUGCGCACGCGGCAUGCCGUAGGUGCGGCUCCAGUAGUAGAUGAUGUCGAAGUCGACGCAGUCCUCCGGCUUGCCGAGGUAAGCGGAGGACGCCUUGACGUAGCGGAGGAGCACGCCGACCCUGGUGUCGACGCCGGCGCAGAAGAUGUCCGGGUUGAGGUCCCGGAGCCGCUGCAUGUCCGACACAAACGCCGGCGCCUUGGAGAGCGCGACGCUGAAGCCAGAGUUGUAGUAGAAGGAGCCAUGGAUGCGCCGGUCCCAGGGGCAGCCGCUGAGGAGACCGUCCUCCGGGCUAUCCAUGCACGUGCCGGACGCCUGGAUGCGGUGCUGGUACCCCACCACCGGGUACCCCGUGAACGAGACGCCGUCGUUUGUGUAGCCGUAGGCCUGCCGCUCCACCGUGUCCGCCAGCGGCCGCGCCGCUGCGCACAGGUCGGCGGCGGCGGUGCCGUUCUCCUGCAGCAGCUCCUCGGCGGCUCUUGCGUCGGCGAGCAUGCGCGUGGGGGCGGACCGGGCAAGGAGCGUGUCGCUGAGGCCGUUGCCCGGCGACGAGACGUCGACGCGGUCGUCCUGGCGGUAGAUGACCUUGCGCUGCUCCGGCUGCCACGUCAUGUCGGCGAACUCGUGGAGGCGGCCCCAUGCUGCCACUUGGUCCGCCAGGUCUGAGUCGUCGCGCUUCACGAACGCCACCGACCGCUUGAACAGCGGCUGCAGCGCCAGCGUGACCUGAGAGACCACGCCGAGAACCCCGAGGGAGACCUUUGCCGCGUCCAGGUCCGGGUGACGGGCGCCCAGCUCCCUCACGACGGCAAACCCCUGGCUCGCCGGCCCCGACGUCACGAUCCUCAGCCCGACCACGUACUCGUGGACGGCGCCGCCCUUGCCCCACAGCGAGCUGCCGUGCGCGCCCGUCGACAGGAGGCCCCCGAUGGUCAGGCCGUACCAGUACGGCGAGUGCGGCAGGGACAGCCCUGCGGCGCCGGCGGCCUCGAUCAGGUCCCGGAGGACCAUGCCGCUCUCCACCGUCAUAAGCCUCCUCUCCACGUCGACGCGCACCGUCCGGUUGAGCAGCGCAGUGCUUAUGAUGGUGCCGUCCAGGCCGCCGGGGCACGCCAGCUUGGGGAGGCUGUGUGAGUACUUGGUGGCCACCUUCAUCUUGCGUUUCGCCGCCGCCGACGCCGCGACGGCCGCCACGAGCUCUUGUUCCGUGCGCGGAUAGGCGACGUUGCCCGCGCGGCAGAUGCUGCGGUCCGGGAAGGAGCCGAACGAGUUGGUGACCGUGCAGUUGGAUGUGCCGUGCGUGCAGACCACCGGCUCCGGAGGUGGGCUGCAGCCGGCGAUGUGGAGGAGGAUGGCUAGGAGGAGAACCGCGAGCGGGAUCCCCACUGCUCCUCUCUGUCCUUGCGACAUCGCGGUUAUGACUCUUGAAUAAGUACUAUAGGUACCUCUGCUCCAGCUUGCUUUAUAUAGCUAGAUUGAUCACCAUGCUUGUGAGUGACACAUUUGUGAACGAAAAGAUAUAUCAUUGUAAUUAGUUUGUCUGGCUUUUCUCUCAAUUUUUGUUUGUUUGUCUGGCACUUCCCGAAAAAUUGAGGCAAAUUGCGAGAACAGCGAUUCGGUGCCCAGGCUCAUUUGCACCCACGUUGAUGAAAAAUUCAAAACAAAUACUAAAAAAAUCAAUAAAUUCCAAAAACAAAAUCAUGGUAGAUAAUUUGGUGCGUGAGGUCCACUCCACAUUUCAGAACAUUUGGACAUCUAAGUAGCUGUCGGCAAAAAAAGACAAAUUUAGGAUGUGUAAAAAAGUUUACAAAUUUGUCUUUUUUGCUAAGAGCUGCUCAUAUAUUCAAAUGAUUUGAAAUUUGAAGCGCACCUCACACACCAAAUUAUCUACCAUGCAAUAAAAAAUCUUUGAUUUUUGCUGAAUUUUUUGUGAAUUUUUUUCUUAACUAGGUGCAGAUGAGUCUGCACUCAUAAAUGGAUAUUGGGUAAAUUGCUCUCUUGUCGUACAUUGCUGUGUCUCAAGGGGACUGCGCACUGCGCAUGCUUCUGUCCAUAAAAAUGGUCUUCAACAACUUUAUACUCUAGGCUGGCUGUCUUGUACUCUUGCCUCGUUGGUUGCAAGUUGACUUUUGAUGAAGAAGCAGAAAAAAAUUUAGUCAACUUUGUGUUAGCCUUCUUUUUUUUUCAUCUGUGUCUAUUAUUUUGCGAAAAGGUCCAGAUCAAUUGAUAAAACUACCACUCCGGCAACCCCUAAAUAAAAGAUAAAGAAAACUAGAUAACGUUGCGCGUCUUGCUACAGAAUUUUUUAGCAAUGAACUUAUUUUUUUUAGAAUAUACGAGAGUAGUACCGCAUCAUAUUCAACCUAUAUAUAAAUGGAGGGUGGAUAAAUGUUUAUCGUCUUCUGAUGUUCAAGUUCAAUUAUUUUUGUUAAAAAUAAAAAUAGAAAUUAAAAUUAAUGAUGUGAUGGGCUUUCAUAGUUUCAUGUGUUUGAUGAUGUGCAGGGCUUGCAUGUCAUGAAAAAUAGAAAAUAAAAGGUUGAUUGGUUGCAUGACGCUUGAUGAUGUGAUGGUGUGCAUAUGGUGGAAGGUGGAAAGUAAAACGUUGAUUGGUUGUAUGCAUUGUUCUGGUGCGAAAACUUUCAAUCUAUUCAUCAUCAAUCGUGGCAGUACAACGAACACCAGAAAUAAUAAAAAAAUACAUACAAAUUCAUAGACCACUUAGCGAUGAAGAGAAUCAUAAAUUGGAAGGAUCCAAAGUGAAGACACAUUUACGUAGAUGAACGAAGGCUGGAUCCGAGCGGAUCCACCAAAGGCAAUCACCACCGAAUCAUGUGAGAUCGGUUGGAGACACACCUUCAGACAACCUUCGACAAUGUUAGACGCACCACCGAGACGGGGUUAGUUGGGGAGAACCUUUAUUGCAUCUUCUGGGAGUCGCCGCUCUCUCAUCUUCUCGAGCAAGACAUAAACCCUAGUAAAACUCAAAGAAACAUAUAAAACUGGAGCUCCCGCACCGGCAAAGGUCGAGAUCCAUCGCGCCUCCAUGACUCUAAGGCCACAGGAGACGAGGCCGAUCAGUGACGCCGCCGACAGAAGGUGGAAACCCUAGCCGACCUGGCACUAUAAGGCCUCGUAAUAAAAUUGUGCCACAUAAUUGGUCACUUAUUGGUUGCAUGCAUUUGAUGAUGUGGAUGGCUUGCAUGUGCAUUUAAAUGAAAGAUGACAUAUGUGAGGCAUAUGUGAUGAGAUGGAUAGGCUACAUGUUAAGAUAAAUAAAAUAUUGAGGAUGAAUUUCCUACGUAUACAGGAUACAUAGAGGUUCAAACGGGCUGGUGGAGCAUCUCUCUGCUGCCUAUCCAUCCCUAGGGCAGCAAGUCGUUAUUGAUCGUGGGUGAGGAGCCAUCAGGGCUACGACACUGUCGGAUCAGCACCCUGGCGAAGAAAUUGAAAGUCACACAAAUCCAAAAUCCCAACGUCUCAAAAAGCUCACGUGCUUUUACACUGGUACCGAAGGGCGACCAACAUGAUGGAGAGAAGGUCGGAGGACCAAACUACAACGCGAAGUCAUGCUACUACUAGUUCUGCAUGUGGGUGGUGGAUUAUUCGUCCUUUGUAGUCUCUUCAUUCCAUGAUACUCCCUUCGUUCCUAAAUACUUGUCUUUCUAGGCAUUUCAACAAGUGACUACAUACAGAGUAAAAUGAGUGAAUCUACACUUUAAAAUAUGUCUACAUACAUCCGUAUGUGAUAUUCAUUUAAAAUGCCUAGAAAGACAAGUAUUUAGGAACGGAGGAAGUAUAACGCAUAUAGAUUCUUCAAAAGUCAAGCUUUUGCAAAAAGCAAAAUUUGAUCAAGUUUAUAGAGAAAAACAUCAAAAUAUUUAGAUACCAAACAGAUAUAGUACGACCCCCACCUACCCCCGCGUCGCCCGUGUUUGGCGACACGGGGGAAACCCUCGCCGCCGUCGGGAGCUCCCCUCCACCACCAGUACGCCCGCUGCGCCGCCGCUGGAGGGACGGCCGGCGAAGCCGAGCCACGCGCGGGUAUGGUGGCGGGCAGCACGAUUUUGUUCAUGCGCCGGCACCGCAGCCCCCGCUGCAGUCCCUCUCCUCCGUCGCCGCCUUCCCGCAUAGCUGCCGCCGGUCGGCCGGCGUGGCCACGUCGGGCCUGGGUUGGCUGCGGUGUGUGUUGGCGGACGCGCCCCCCCUCCCCGCCCCCUUGCGCCGAGGACCCUCCCUCCCGCCGGCCCCUAGAUCGGAUCUGGCGCGCCGCAGACUCCCUGCCCGUCCAGUUGCUGCACGGCGUCCUGCCAUCCUGCUCGGCGGCGCGGCUGCGCCUGCGUGUUCCCCCAGCGAGCUACAGUGACGACCCCUACUUGUGUGUGGCCACGGCGAUCCUCGACCAGUCCGGUGUAGUUCUCACGGUGGAUCUUUGUCGACACCGCUCCGGUCCCGACGUCCAUGGACAUGCGUUCUCCAGUGUCCUUGGUCUGCCGGCGUCCUUUAGCGGUGCGAUUUCGGCCCCGGUGCACCGACGGCUGCGCCCCUUCCAGCCUCGGUUCACCGGAGUUCGGGUGGCUUCGCCUCCGGCAGCACGGAUCCACGUUCUCUUCUAGCUCCGGAUUGCCGGUUGCGUUGGCCAUCUUCCUUCCAUUCACGUUGGCUCUCUACACCGCUGCCUCUCCGAUCCCGUCCAUCUACGAGUCAUGUCGACUCCAAAGCUUGUGUUUUUGUUGGCGGCAGGUGCAGCCCCACCCCCUUCCUAGGUUUCAGUCGAUUUGGAGGUUGGCUCCUGCAUCUUCGGAUCCUGAUCUGGUGGCUUUGGGAUUGCUCGGACUCAAGCGAGGCGAAAUGCAUGCUUGGCUUGCCGAUGCUGGCAGCGACAACGCUCGCGGGUGUCGUUUUCCUUCCUGGAGGCGCUGCCAAGGCCUUUAUCCGUGCCCCUCUACGAGCAUCAGGGGAAACCCUAGGUCCGGUUCACCGGAUCGGAUGGCGGCAGCGUCACGACAUCGUUCCCCCUUCUUGAAGGCGUCAUCUUGCUCGCUCGUGGUGUCCUCGGUGUUGGAUUUGAAGAUGUUUGAUGUCCUGCUGCUUCGGCCUGCUCCUCUAGUUUUAGGCUUGUUGGGUUUAGUUGUGUUCUUUACUCUGUUCGGGCUGAGCACCCUGUCUCUCUAUGCUCCGGGCACCAUGUUCAUGCCUCUUUGUGUUCAUGUCAUGUGUUGUACCCCUUGUUGUACUCAUUCUUCUCUUUCUAUCAAUGAAAAGAUCCGCAAGCUUUGCGUAUUCGCGAAAAACAUAUCAUUAGAUAUGUCACAAGGCGUAUUUUUGUAUUAUAUAAGUUUUGUACUAUAGAUAGUGAUAAUUCUUUCUAUAAACUUAGUCAAAGUUGGCUAAGUUUAAGUUUUCGAAAAACCUAUAGGCACUCUAUUGUGAAACGAAGGAAGUACUUGGAAUACCAUAAUAAUAUCACACAGAACUAGUAGUGGCACCAAUACAAAUUAGAAUCCACAAUGUUGAUUUUUUUCAUUAUUAAAUUUUAUUUACAUGUUCUAAGAGCAUCUCCAUGUCCAACUAGGCACGCCCAAGCUAAAGCUGCAAAUUAGGUGAUUUUUGGUGAUUCCCGAGGUGCCACUUACCCAUGUUGUAGUCUAUCCCAAAAUCUGCCCAUUGUUACAAUAGGAAUGCCACUCCACCGUCGACCCAAAUUUCCCAAUGAUGUUUUUUUAUCAUAACAACUUCAUUCAUCAAAUAAUAGCAGGGUCGUUUACAUAGUAAUGAAGAAUAAAGUCAGGGACAUUGGAUUCCCAAGAUUCAGACUUACUAAUGCUAAAACAGUGUUUGGUCAAGCAAUCUGUUACCAUAUUUGCUUCCUACUGCAUUGGACAAAAUCAAUACUAGCAAACUCCAUGGCCAUGAGAGAACCCUCUGCAAUGAUUGGAACAUCAGUUCCCAUAUAUGCAUUUGGAUCACAGAUGCCCUCUAACGCCAACAUACUGUCAGACUCGAUGAUGAUUUUAAUGCAACCCAAUUUUUCUGCUAGGAUCAAACCACUUCGGAUAGCCAUAACUUCCGUUGAAUCUGCACUAGAAACAUGGGGUGGCACACAGGUCCCUGCUGCCAGAAAUUACUUCGAUCAACUCGAGCUAUCGCUCCAUAGGCUCCUGUCAUAUUUUCCACAUGAAAUGAUGCAUCAAUAUUGAUUUUAACAACUCCCUCUCUUGGCUUCUUCUAGCUAGGAUCGAUCUUGCGUAUAGGCUGGUUUGGAGUAUAAGCUCGGACAAAAUUUGUAGCUAGAACCCGUAUAGACAUGGCUGAUUGUUCUGCUGACAUGAUUGACUCUCCAUUGUUACAAGAUCUUCGCCUUUGUUAUUUUCAAUCGAACAAAAAUAAAGAGAGAGGGGUCAUUGCGGGGCUCUCUAUAGGGUUCUGGGGCCACCAACUUUGCCGGCCCCAUCAGCUCCAAAAUAGACUAAUUCGACGCCACCACCUCUGGUCGUCCCCGUAUUACGGCCAGCCCCGCCUUUGACGCUGCAAGCAGCUCCGCCUAAGGCGCGCCACCCCUGAUCACUGUGUAUGCCACCCCAAGGUCUCCCUGCAAUGUGCGCACCUGACCACCAUCAUCUGCUCCCUUAUUCAAGAUCCCUGACUCACGACGGCCUGACCAACACCCUCCAUGCUUAUGUGUUCAUUCGUGCAACAACAGGGUAAACAUAUGAUUUGGUUUCCAUUCUUCAAAAUCGAUAGCUGCAGCGAUUUUCAGGAAUACACAGCCACACGAUUCUCACGAAUCUCUAGCCCAAACAAAGGGGGGCUUAUUGGGAGGGGGCUGGGGAUCUGUUGGAGAUCCUCUAAGUGACCUCAAACAAUGGAUGCGAUCAAAUGUUCCUUUGACCUCCUAGGUAAGAGGGGUCAUCUUAAAAGAAUUAUAGCAGUGUCAUGAAUGAUGGGACACGGAGCUUGGCAUCUCAAAUGGUUUUGAUAUUAUUGUUGGUAAAAUUUACCAUGUAAUUUUUCUGAUGAUGCAGGUAGAAAAUAAACGGAAAGAGGGAACAAAUUUAUAUGCAGACAAUCCACAUGUAAACUUCAAAAUAAAAAUUGAGAGCACUCUUUUUUUUAAUUGGAGGGCACUCUUAAUAUAUUCUAUCAUCUAUUACAAAAUCAUUCCAAUACACAUUAUUGAAGUGGUUCUGUGGUAAGUUGUUUGUUAAUGACACAUAUAAUUUUAUUUACAUAACAAGUACAGGUUAUUGGAUAGUUGCUUUCCUUUCCCCUCUUGUAAGGUGAUUAGGGAAAGCCUUCUUCCCAUCGGUCUCCACUGGCGAUCCCGUGGAUUCGCCUCCCCUCUGCCUGCCGCUCCGGCGGCCAGUGGCAAGGAGGAGAUUCUGGUGCCUCGGCUACGACUAUUAGAUAGGCAGGGUUUUACUCCUCGUAGAGGCGGCGCUUCUUCUCUGAGUCAAUCUUCUGGGCUUCGAUCCUCCUCAAUUUCGUCCGUUGGGACAUAUUAGACGAAGCUCCAACGUAGAUUCUAGCUAGCUCAACGGGGCAACGAGGCUAGGGUUUCUCGCGGCGUACACAAUGGCGUGAUUUGGUGUUAGGAUCUUCAGAUUAAUUCAAGGAAUAAAUGGUGACGACUACGGCUCCGGAGCGCUGGUCAUUAGGGGCACGUGCACGAAGACUUUUAUGUUGUCAUCAAUAUGAUCAGGCCGACUCCGUUAUGGGAGCAGCAACAGCGGCACGUCGGCAACUUGUUCUGGCGGCGGCAAUGAUUGCUCGGUGGUCCGUGGACCUCGAUGUGAUUUUUAUUAUAUUUAAAGUGCUUUGUAAUUGUAGUGAAUCUUUAUAAUAGUUCUUUUUUUGGAAAAAAUGUACAAUUUGUUGGAUGGCCUAAAGCUCCGAUGAUUGAAGCGUUGAAUAGUAUCAUAGGUUAGUAUCAUGCAUAGUGAUGUAUGAUAAUAGAACCCAUUAACAGUCGCGCAAUGUGUCCACGUCAGCUUCAGUACACGCCAACGCACGAAUAAUGCUUUCAGUUCCGAUUGGAUGCUGUAUGUUGGACCGAUCGAUCUAGUGAAUGGGUUGGGCAGGAGCGCCUCGUUCGUGGCCAGAUAACACCUCCCCCAGGAGGAUUUGCCUUCCCCACGAAGGCAGACCACUUCCUCGCCUCUUCCAUCCCUUCCCUCGCCGCAACCACUCCCUGUUGUUCUCCGCCGCCUCCCCGCCCCGCACGCCGCACCCCCUCCCCCUCAUCUCUGACCCAUGGUGAAGCAACACCGCGUCCCUCACCGAGCUGCACGCCAUCUGGCUGGAAGCCAGAGCUCGAGCCCGACGCCUCCAGCGCCCCCGACGAUUUCCGUGUGCAUCCGGUCUUUAGGUUCUGCAGAUGUCGUUUUUGCUCAUGUGUUGCGUUGUAACCCCACUUUUGUGGCAGGCUGCCAAUCUUUUCGGAUGUAGUUGGCCAGCGGGCUCGAUUCUGAACGAGAUAAGCGAUGUGGGUAGCCGACGAGGAGACAAGAUUCGUCAGUGCCGGCGCAUUUGGAUGGCGGCGGCACCACUGCGUAAGAUGCCAAUAGCAGGGAUAGCGAGCUGGCGCAGUCCGAAGAGUGCAGUGAAGCCGGAUCCGCAAGCGUCCAGGAGGAUUAAAUCGGUACUAUUACACAAACUGGUACACUCUGGUUUCGUUAAUGUUGUAGUUCUUCAAUGAAAACGGACGCAAUUUCUCCCUUAUAAAAUGGACCACUGUCUGAUUAAGGAACAUAAUGACAUCUGGGAAUAAGUUUUUAGAUGUACGGAACAUAAGAAUACUAAGCCUUCAGCUGAAUUGCUGCAUGCUGCCGUGGUGUUUGCAUAAGUAGUGUAUAUAUAUUUUAGUUUAGUCAUGUGCAUCUGUGGUGCUAACCUUCAGUUCAAUCCUAUGUUAUACGUGUGCUUCAAUGAGUUCAUGCUGAUGCUUGAGAUGACAAAGCUUUUCGGUGUAUCCUGCUGGGUAAUCCACCAGAGCAAUAGGAGGAUGGGAGCUGAGGCCUGAUCGGGAUGCAGCGCCCGUCCCGGUCCCUGCUGCCGCCGGAGAGGCGAGGAUGCCGUCGGCCGCGCCAUAGCAGCUCGGGGGUUCCAUGAACAGCGGGGCGACCUCCGCCGUCGCCACGCUGCUGCACGGCUCCACACCCCCAGCAUGAAUGGGGAUGGGUAUGACAGCAACGACAGCUACAACGCCACGCGGCCUGUGAGUACGACUACCUGUUCUCCUGUAGGCUUUAGCUACUAUGUUUUGUUCUGUUUGACGGAGUACUACUACUUUGUGUACCUGUUUUGAUUUUGGCAUAACGAUUAGAGUAAAUAGUGUUUUGCUGCUAAGCAUGGCAUGUUUGUUCUCUCAGGUUGUGAGUUUUCUAAUGUUGUUUCAUAACGAAAAAGUUUUCCCAGACUGGUGGAAAGAGGAGAAAGGUUGGGGUUCAGACGGAUACUUGUUUAGUUUUUCAGGGUUAAAGUCACUAUUCUAGCUUCUUGCUGUUGCAGGUUGUUGGCCUGCCCAUGCUACUAGAGCUGUCAUGGGUGCUUUGUUUUGCAGGUUGGAUUCCGGAGGAUCGACAACCUGCAGGCCGGCUGGAUCAUGUGCCCGCCUGUUCUUAAUUUGAAACUCGGUGGUUGAUUCAUUGGAAUCGUUACCAAGCCCACACUCUCCUGUACCUAAUUGUCAUUGUCACCUUGGUGGUUGAUUCAUGGGAAUCUUUACCAAGCCGGUGAGGAUGACUUGUGAGUUUCGAUGAUGGUUUGUUCUUCUCCUACUUCUAAUUUUCUCCUCUUUACCACUACUUGUCACUUGGUGCCGAUUCCGUUCAUCAUCGUUGUUACUAAUAAUGCAGUGUCAUGACCAUGUAAUUCAAAUUUUCAAUUAUUUAAAUUCUGAUAGCACCAGAAAAUAUUUUCUAUUUGCAUUAGUAAUCAUAUUAGUGCCUGAACUAUGGUAUACUUUGUGCAGAUCCCUUCGUAAAUGAAUUUGACUGAAUCAAAUCGAUCUCUACUUUCAAGGAUGUUCAUAGUAACAAAGGCAUUUUUGGAAUCAUACCUCGACUGUAAGUAUCAUUUAUGUUUUUUCUUGGCUGAAGUAUCAUUUAUGUUUUUAUAAGUAAGCCUGUUAUGCAUGAUGUGUUUCCUGUUAUGUGCAAGUUUUAUUUUACUGCCCCGCAAAAAAAAAGUUUUAUUUUACUGUUAUCUCUUGGUUGGGAAUACAUGCAAAUGAAGUUACUAGCUUUCCUUUUUCUGGUCAUAAAUUAAACCAUGCACUUCACUUAUUAUUGCUAGAUUGGAUAAGUUGGUGUUAUUAUACACAGAAACCACAAUAUUUCAUAGUUAAGCUAUUCUACUGCGGUGACUGGUAACUGGCGAAGAUAUCAUUUCAUAAUCAGGAUGUAGCAUGUGUUCCUAAAGCUAUUGACUUGGUAGCCAGAGAACUCACUUCCCCGCGACUCCUGGUCAUGGCCUUAACUCUCCUAUGUUUGUUCAUCAGUCAUCAAGUAUUUUAUAUAUUGCAGCUUGAAACUAGUGUCGUUUAAGAAUUUGUUUUCACAAUGACAAGAAACUUCUAACUCGGUGUUUCGUUUUCAUCUACUGCACUAUAUAUUCGUCUUGCAUUUUACAGUUAAAUUCAUCCACUGCAGUAUUGACUAAUUUCUCUUACCACAGGACUACAUUUCUUCAAACUAUUCUGGUUUUUAGUCCUUGAGCUACUCCCAAUAGUAGAUCCAUAAACUUUGUUAUCCUUAUGUGAAAUAUAUUACUGACUACUUGGAAAAUUAGAUAGGGCUUUGGUACUGCCAUUUUUGUACCCCACACAAACUCUACAACACUAAGGCCAAAUUUUUAAUAUUGAUCAUUUGUGUAUUUUUUCUUCAUGUAUAAUUUCCAGUGCUGACAGCAUAAACUAAUCUGAUCCAUCAAGCAUUUAUAAAAUACCAUGGGAAUAUUUCAUCAAGCACCACCAAACUGACAAUUCUUCACUUGACACUUUCAAUGCUUGUCAUUGAGUGUAUGAUUGUUUCUAACCGAAUAAGAUUUGCUUUUCAUCCACUGCAGCUUAUGAUAAUCUUGUAAUCUACAACCUAAAUUCUAUUAUUGUUUGCUUUACUUUCAACUUUUAUUGUUUACUUUAUCUCACUUAGUGCAAUCUUCUUCUGUUUAGCUCUGCUUUUCUGUCAAACCUCACUUAACAUUUUAUUCUAACCACACAAUUUGAGAGCAUCUCCUUUAUUUAGCUCGGCGGGAUCAAACACCACCAUCCUCGCCGAAGUCCAACCAGCACCACGCAACUAAUGGUGCUGCCGGCAUGAUGAUGCCCUCCUCCGUGCUGAUCUAGCUUUUCGACCUGUCAUUCCGGGCAUCUGCUUUUGAUGUGCUAUUUGCUCUCUUUUCAUAAGUGUAGCUUACAUGAUCAGUUUUGUACGUGCACUAUACUUCUGUGUUGUAUCUUUGUUUUUCAAGAAGCGGCAGCAUGCUCCUGUCAGUGUUAUUUUAUUGCUAUCCAUUGGCAUGUGCUAAGAGAAAUGAAAAGGGUGUAUAUGCAUGUACCAAUGCUAAGUAAUUUAGCUGAUUUCAUCAAUUCAGCAACAUUUGUCAGUGCAUGUGUUGCCCAGACCACAGAAAGCAAGUGAAAGACGCGGCCACCUACCAGGCACCGCCGAACUUUCUCUCAGGAGGCGCCACGAG
rnacentral:lncRNA from 1 species